rnacentral:sRNA from 1 species
CCUGUGUAACAGUGUCUCCUUUUCUGACAGAGUGUCAAUGUCUUUGAUCCAAGGUCACUAAGUUUGGAGCUGGUUGUAUUACCCACUCCAUUCGCUCUGGGGACAGUAUGGGGCACAUCAAUAGGAAGGUGUUAGGAGUGGCUGAUAAUGGGCCUGGGUAUUGGCUGUUUGAUUUGGGGACACUCAAAGUACAUUGAGUAAUGUCUGAAAGGAUAAAUCUAUGAUUAGGUUUCUUAAUAAACCCAGUCUAUAGAAAGAUCAGACUAGAGCGUGGAUAAAGCUUAUCAGGAAACCAUAGUGCCAUUACGGUGGUAACAAUUCAGCGUGUCUGCUCAUACACAUUUAUGGGGUCUUCCUCCAGCUUAGAGUGGGCUUGUCGAAGGGCGAUGUUCUGUGAGACAGUUCGUAUCCAACAACAGGAAAAGAAGACCAAGCUGUGAGUGUUAAGUCAGCUGGCGUCAAGGCUGCCAGGUCCAUUUUGCAGGAUAUGAAGGAGUGAUGGAGGGGGGUGGCAAAUGGAGACGGUUCAGCAACUCUUCUGAUAAAACCUCCAGGGCAGCAGUUCUCAAGGUUCUCAGCCUGAGGAUUGGGACCCCAACAAAGGUCACACAUUGGAUAUUUACAUCACCAUUCAUAACAGUAACAAAAUUACAGUUAUGAAGUAAGCAGUGAACUAAUCUUAUGCAUGGGGGGGGGUCACCACAACAUGAGGAAGUAUAUCAAAUGGUUGCAGCAUCCAGAAGGGACCAAUGCAGGGACUUAGUACAACGGCACAACAUUUUAACAGACCCAUCACAGUAGCCCAUGAUCUAAUAUCUAGUUGGUGUAAUCCACACUAUCUGAAAGUAAGCCACGGGGUGCAAUCCUCAUUUCUGUCUUGUCAGUUUGCCUACUAACGAAAGCAUGAGGUCAAAAUCUAAGCAGACCUUGGAAAGGGAUAUAAUUUUUAUGAGUGGCAUAGACCAUGAUAAGCUAGCUGUACACGCUCAGUAAGUAAUUCCCACCACAUGCUCAUGCAAAAAAAAAAAAAAUCCUUAUUAAAGUCGACGGGAUCCAGAGAGAAACAGAGUUUGGGAAUCGGAGAGGAUAAUGGUGGUGAAAUGAUCAAAACCCAAUAAGUGCAAGUAUGAAAUUGCCAUAGUCAAGAAUUCUAAACACAUCAUAAAUACAUUACACGGCUAAUUUUGACGUUUAAACCCUCAGGCAUUAAUGAUGACCUGAUUCAAACAGGAUAAUUUUUAAUAGAAACUAAUAGGAAGGCCUAAUUCUGGACUUGAAAACAUUAGCUCACAAGGACAGGAUGGAGAAACCUUGUUUGAGAAGCAACAGGAGGGGCAUACUCAGUGGACAGUCUUAUUACAUCUGGUAGUGGCCAUGGGAAAGGUGACAUGCAUUUGGAGUCUAGUCAUGGAAAUGAGGAAUUUCUAACAAGGAGAUAAACGUUCCUAAUCUCUUUGCACUAGUCUAACAAUACAGAUUGCAUUCAGAUCUAGAUAACAGACAAGCACACUUUAAACAAAUGUUUAUUGACAUAUAAAUGUACAUCUCUCAGGGGUACAGAAUGGGAAUUCAAUAUGGGUGGGUAACGCACAACGAUCAAAGCCAAGUUAUCAAUCCCACAUCCUGAAGCAUGUAACGUUCCUUUGUGCCGAGAGACUUCUGGAUCUUUAUGACUGCACAAGGAAGCAUUGUGAGCUGCAGUCUCUGCCAACCUGCAGGAUAACACAGCUUGUUCCUCUGUGAACCCCUUUCAGUAUCUGUCAUCCGGCCACCCUCGACCAGUCUGCCUGGUCUUUCCAGCCUCUACUGACUGCUGUCCCACGCUGUGUCAUGAAGGAACCUGAAAUGGCUUGCACCAAAGCACAAACACAAACCAUCAGGAAGGUGGUUAGUGAAGUGGUGAACAUUCACUCCGGCAAAGGCAAUACAAGAUCUCACUGUUGUGCUGGUUUUGAACAUCUGGCCUCAACUCACCUCUCCAUCUCAGCUUCCAGAGUCGCUGGGACCACACAUGCUUCAUGCACUGGCUGCUCUGACCUAAAUCUCCAUGUCUUUCUUCCUUUGGUGAAUCUUUAGCUCUUCAUGAGCCCUAGGCUUUCCAGGGCAUAGAAGUCUGGUGUCCACCUGCAUGAGUGUGCUCUCUCUCUCUCUCCGAGAUCCACAGGGAUGAUGGAAUCCUCUCUGUCCGCUCACAGUCAGGUGGGGCUGCGUGACUGGCUCUAGCCAGUCUAUGAAGUUCCGUAUAUGCUCCUAGAUCGAGCACUAAAGAAAAAGUGUGAGCUGUCACGUUUUCCCCCUUGCGGCCAACCCUAGACAUCAGGCUGUCAGAGUAGAAGCCCAAAUUGAAGGUGGGCGAAGUUCCUGAGACAGGAGGAGAGAGGAGCUGUGUUUACAUUUCCUCAGGCUGGCUUUCCAGCUGAGGAGCCGCAGAGAAAGGCUAUCAGACCACGGCUGGAGAAUCUUCUCAGAAAGAAGAAAACCCAAGGGACUCAACAAUGAGAAAUGAGAGCCUAGAGUAAGCCCUGGGAGCUGUGCUCUGCUGGCUAUGCUGUCUAGGUCCAUGUAAGUCUUAUAAAGGAUUCUUAAACGUGGCUUUGGGUUACUGUUGUCUCGAUACCAUUUUUCUGUCUGACGGUAGCCAUGACCUCUCCCCACCUCAUACAUGCCUUCUGUACCUAUAAGAAAGGCAAGAAAAAAAAUGCCUCUCCAACUCUCCCGUCAUUUCAUCAGAACCAUGUACAGUGACCUGCCCUCAAAUAGGAUCGAGCUGGAAUGCUAAACAUAGAAUAAGUCUGACUAUCCCUGCAGCGUACCCCAGGUUAUGUGGGAACUCAGCCCUGCUCCUCUCCUUCCCUAUAGUUAGUCAGAGGACAAGUAUUUGUGACUGAUGAACGGAGUACUUCGUGUCUCGCUCUGCAGUGCAUAAAUGGGAAUUAUAGAAGUCGUGAUGGGUCUUUCCCGACAAACAUAAAUCAGGAUAGAUAAAAGGGAUGGAAAUUAGAAGCAGAAAGCGAUGUGUGAACGGAGCCCGUGGCCAGCCAUUCGUGCUCAUCCGCUUCCCCAUCUGUUUUAUUUGCAUGCAGGAAUCAUCUCCUUGUUUCCAUCUGAAGCUCCCUUUUCUAGAAGGUCAGAGCCUUUCCUUCCCACUUAUGUGUGAAAUAAACACAACCCAGUAAUCUUCCUUCCUCAAGCCCCUCCAGCUUACAUGCUUUGGGUAACUGAUCUUUAUCUCUGUGAAGAAGUUGAGAUUAAACUGGAAGUGGGAGGAGCCUAUCAUUUUGACACGGUGUAUUAUUAUCUAUUUCAAGAAACAAAGAAACGAAGAACUUCUAGGUGUGUAAGGGAAAGGUCAUGCUGAAGGAAAGCCCUAUUAUUUUCUUUUUCAAAUGUCCUUGGCACAGAAACAAAAUACUCGUCAGAACGGACCCAAACUCUCAUUACAUUGGCACAUCUCUACCGAAGAUUGUCUUGGCCAUUUUUAAGGAAGGAGCUGAGGCAGUGUGAGUGAGUGAUAAAGGUGCAUAUGCAGGCUGUAAAGAGCACACAGGGCAAACACUGCUCUAAGAAAUGUCUUGUGCCUGCUUCUACAGGGUAAUAUAUGCCAGGAGAUGGUUUCAGGUUGGCAGAAAUCCCAGCUCCCCUGUUGCGACCUAUGGCGUCACCCUCAGGGUGAGUGCAAAGUGUGUGGUUGUUUCGGCCAUUAUUAGCAGGGUGACAGUCAAGGGUAACAUGCCCUCUAGGAACAAGAAGAAAGGUAUUCACUUUUAACACUUAAAACAUGGGAUGGUUUUAUAUAUCCUCACUAAAGUCUGCAGGGGAAGAUUGGCUUUUUUUUUGCCUCUGAAAACUAUCACUGUCGGUUCUAUAUGUCAGCCACCAGCUAUUUAACAGACACUCCCUUGUGCAUAUGUUUGUAGGAUGUUUACAGAUAAGGUGCUGAAGCUCAGGGGAGGCUCUAUAAUUUUUCCAGGAUCAUACAGCACAUAAAAUAGUAGAUCUAGAAAUAACUAAGCAUGCCUGCUUUCAAAAUGCAUCCUCUACCCACUGGAGGACAGUUUCUCUAAAUAAAUAGGCUGUUAUUCAUAAUACCAAGAUCUGAAAUCAACCUAGCAUCCACCAAUGGAUGAGGAGAUAUUGAAAUGAAAGCAUGCCAUGUAUAUACAAUGGAACACUUUCUGACUUCUGAAAGGGGGAAACUUCAUUAGUUGAGGCAACACGAGUGAACCUGGAAGACAAUACAUUGAGUGAAAUAUACCAGACACAGAAAGACAAAUGCCAUAGCUUUCCACAUAUGUAUGAAAUCUUAAAAAGACUAGGUUUUCUUUAAGGUGCUGCCGCUGGGAAUUUGACCAUGCCAACAGUGAGCAGGUGGGCAACACGAAUUGGACUUGAAUUUUUUCGUUUCGUUUUCUCCUCCUUC